GUGUCUGUAGCCUAGCAGUAAAAGGCAGCAGUCUAGUAAACUAUCAUGCCUGAGGUUGUGGGUUUGAAUCCCAUCAGACACA
rnacentral:tRNA from 1 species